rnacentral:tRNA from 1 species
GGGGUUGUGGCUCAGUGGUAGAGCACUUGCCUAGCAUGUGUGAGGCCUUGGGUUCGAUCCUCAGCACCA